CCUUUUUUCUUUCUUGCUUCCAUCUCCAUCUUCCUUUUUCUCUUCUUCUCCCUUCUUCCUCUUUUGUUAUCCGAAAUAAUAAUGGUGUUUGAAUCGAUUAACGCGAAUCAGUUCGAUUGAGAUUUUUUUAGGGUUUCAUACUGUGCGAAUGGGUUUGAAAGUUAGGGUUUUGAAUUUGUAGUUAGGGUUUUAGUGGUUUAUUUGAUGAUUUUGUGGUUUGUUUUUCAGGAAUAAGACUGGAUCGAGUUUUACCACUGAGUUAUGGUGAUUUCUCAUUCUCACUCUCAACCAAAUAUAUGCUAUUAAUGAAGUUGCUAAGAGAAGGAAAAGGGUAGUGUUCUCUUCUUCUCAUUCUUCAGAACUUAACCCUGUAAUUACGUUAGAAAACUCUUCAUUUUUUGGUGUUUAUGAAGGUUGAGAAAGGUGGGGAAGAUGCUUUUUUGUGAGCAACUAUAAUGGAGGAGUUAUUGCUGUUGCUGAUGGAAGAGCCGACGGGAACGAAAAGUUUAUUUUUCAAUUUUUUUGAUCUGAGUUAAGCAUCGUGCAAAAUAAGAGCUGAAGGAGAUUUUUGGCAAUGAUUUUUGUUUAAUUUUUCGGUUAGAUUAUGCACACGGGAAGAAGAUUGAGCAUAACUGGAUUUAUUUCUCUGCAUUUUUUGUGCAUGAAAGAUCUUGGAGAUAAAGAGGUUAAAUGGUAGAAGACGAAAAAGAGCAACAUCGGUCAAUCAUCAUAAACCUAUACCUUGGCGUCGAGAGUAAGAGAUUUGUCAUGUCACAUGGUAAGUGGCUUAAUUUUCAUCUUUUUCAUCUUGAUGAAUCAGAUUUUCCUUACUUUUGCACCCUUAAUGUUUGACAAAAUGCUUCUAUGAACUUUCACAUUAUGUGUACCACUGUUGGAUUUUAUAUGUUUUUCUAUCAUUGUUACUGCUGCUGAAUUUUCUAUUACCCUUAUCAUAUUUGUUGGAUAAUGAAAAGGGAAGAAAUCUCAGGAUCCUCUCGAUAUGACACUUCUAUUUGUUGGUGGAGAGGCACUGAGACAACAUGGUUUCCAGAAUCAGGUGAUUGAGAAAUGGGUCCAGCCGUAUUGUUCUAUGUGUUUGCUCCAGAAACUGCAGAUACUCAACUUCUAUUUCAUGUCCAUUGCAAGUUCCAUCGAAGUUUCACUCCAUCGGCUCCAUUCCAAAGGAGAGAAAUCCAAUAAAACAUCUCAUGUGAAAAAGUCACACGAAAAGUGGAUCGCCUCACACGGUGGCGGGGGCGGGGAGGAGCAUAAUGUUCGGCGACAGCGUAAUUUUCCGGGUGGAGCAGAACUCAUAUCGACAAUGUCCUUGGCUUCUUAAUUUUUUGGGAGGAGCAGAACUCAUAUUGACAAAUGGCAUUGCCUUCUAAGCACAAGGUAGCUACUCAUGCAGGUGGUUUAUCAACUAUCAUAGUUGCUGGUAUGGCUGUAAUUGGUAUAGCAUUCCUUUAUGCCACAUUUUAUGUUUGGCUACACACUGGGUUCAAUGAAGGUUAUUAACUGUAUAUGCAUACUUCUCCCUGGAACUUAUUCAUUAUAAUGAAUGCUAGCAUUACUUUUGAAGUGUUUGAAGUUUAAAUGUCUGUGCAGAUUCUAAUUACAAAGACUGUUGGGAGCUUGAUUCGGCUUCACUUCCUUCGGAUUUACUAACUAUUGGUGGAAUAUAUAAUUGAGAAAAAUGUAAAGGUGAGAAGUUGGUUGGACCUCUAUACGAGUGUUGUGCAUGGACGAGAUAUCAACUGGUUUGGACAAUUCAACAACUUUCUAAAUAAUCACCUGAAUCAGACUAUCGAUCCAUAUUCUAAACGGAAUUGUACUUGUGUCACUUCUACAGCCAGCACCAUAAACUUAUGACUUAUUUGACAAUAACAUACUUCUCACAGAUGGACAAAUUGUUU